GACGAACGCUGGCGGCGUGCUUAACACAUGCAAGUCGAACGGAAAGGCCCUGCUUGCAGGGUACUCGAGUGGCGAACGGGUGAGUAACACGUGGGUGAUCUGCCCUGCACUUCGGGAUAAGCCUGGGAAACUGGGUCUAAUACCGGAUAUGACCUUCCAUGUAGUGUGGGGGGUGGAAAGAUUUAUCGGUGUGGGCUGAGCCCGCGGCCUAUCAGCUUGUUGGUGGGGUAAUGGCCUACCAAGGCGUCGACGGGUAGCCGGCCUGAGAGGGUGGACGGCCACAUUGGGACUGAGAUACGGCCCAGACUCCUACGGGAGGCAGCAGUGGGGAAUAUUGCACAAUGGGCGGAAGCCUGAUGCAGCGACGCCGCGUGGGGGAUGACGGCCUUCGGGUUGUAAACCUCUUUCGACAGGGACGAAGCUUCGGUGACGGUACCUGUAUAAGAAGCACCGGCUAACUACGUG
rnacentral:rRNA from 1 species